GCCCGGUCGUACUCAUAACCGCA
rnacentral:snRNA from 1 species